CGGGUCAGCAUACCGCGGUGAAUACGUUCCCGGGCUUUGUACACACCGCCCGUCAAACCAUGAAAGUUGGGAACACCCGAAGCCUGUGAGCUAACCGCAAGGGGCAGCAGUCGAAGGUGGGUUCAAUGAUUGGGGCUAAGUCGUAACAAGGUAAC
rnacentral:rRNA from 1 species